rnacentral:lncRNA from 1 species
AAGCGAUUCUUCUGCCUCAGCCUCCCGAGUAGCUUAAACUCCUAGGCUCAAGCAAUCCUCUGCCUCACCUCCCAGAGUGCUGGGAUUACAGCACCACACCUGGCUAAUUUUUUUUUUUGUAUUUUUAGUAGAGAUGGGGUUUCUCCACGUUGGUCAGGCUGGUCUUGAACUCCUAACCUCCAGUGAUCCGCCCACUUUGGCCUCCCAAAGUGCUGGAAUUACAGGUGGGAGCCACCGUGCCCGGCUAUUAUAGCAAAAGUUUAUUUUAAAUUUUAGUAAAUUUAUGAUAAACUAAAAUGAAUAAUAGAACUGGAAAAGGUAAUGGGAGUGGAGAACGGGAAAUUGUGGAGAAGGAGAAGAGUGAGGAAUGGUAGGAAGGAAGUGGUACUCCCCCAAAUCUUAGUUUAGGCCUUCAUCUAAAAAACUGAAGAUUGCUUAAACUACAGAGGAAUAACUUGUUUCAUGUUAUAUAUUUUAAAAUAGGGUGGAAUAGGUUACUUUAAAACCCCGUAACACUCAUUAAAAUCUCAAAAUCAUUCAGUGCUGUGGUAUUCUAAAGUGAAUGGAUUCAUCCUCAAUCUCAGUCAUGGUGAGGGCAAUAUUUAUUUGGAUGAGUCUUAUCUAUUCUAUCACCAGUGGUUUAUUUUACCAUAUGCCUGUUACCUCUCAUCUGUCUGCAUCCUGGUCCAGUCCUUCAUUUCCUUCCACAUGGAUAAUGGCAACAACUGCCUGGCUCAGUCCUUUAACUCCAGUUUCUCCAUCCUUUAAUGCAAACUUCAUGCCUUUCAUUCAUUCAUUUAUUCAACCAACAGAUAACUAUAAUGGUUGUUUAUUCUUAGUUUAUUUUACUUAAUUAUUGAGACAGGGUCUUGCUGUGUCACCUAGGCUGUAGUGUAGUGGCACCAUCUGGGCUCACUGCAGUCUUUUUGCCCAGGCUGGAGUGCAAUGGUGCAAUCUCAGCUUACUGCAACCUCCGCCUCCCCCAUUCAAGUGAUUCUCCUGCCUCAGCCUCCUGAGUAGCUGUGAUUACAGGUGCCCCCCCACCAAGCCAGACUAAUUUUUUGUGUGUUUUUAGUAGAGAUGGGGUUUCACCAUGUUGGUCAGGCUGGUCUUGAACUCCUGACCUCAGGUGAUCUGCCUGCCUUGGCCUCCCAAAGUGCUGGGAUUACAGGCGUGAAACCGUGCCCGGCAUUUUUCUUUUUUUUUUAGACGGAGUCUCGCUCUGUAGCCCAGGCUGGAGUACAGUGGUGCCAUCUGGGCUCAAUGCAACCUCCGCCUCCUGGGUUCAAGCUAUUCUCCUCCUUCAGCCUCCUAAGUAGCUGGGAUUACAGGUGCCUGGCACCACACACGGCUAAUUUUUAUAUUUUUAGGUUUCACCAUGUUGGUCAGGCUGCUCUCGAACUCCUGACCUCAAGUGAUCUGCCUGCCUCGGCCUCCCAAAGUGCUGGGAUUAGAGGCAUGAGCCACCACGCCCGGCCUCUCUGCAGUCUUGAACUCCCAGGCACAAGUGAUCCUCCCACCUCAGCCCCCUGAGUACCUGGGACUAUAGGCACGUACCACAACGCCUAAUUUAAAAAAGCUUUUUUGUAGAGACAGGGUCUCACUAUGCUGCUUUAACUCCUGGGUUCAAGUGAUUCUCUUGCCUUGGCCUCCUAAAGUACUGGGAUUACAGGGAUGAACCACCACGCCCAGCCUUCUUCUAGUUUAUUUCUCACUAUUGUUCAUACACAUCACGUCUGCCUGACGGAUCUCUGGGUUGUACUGCCAUGCCACAUCCCCACACCCGUUUUUCCUGUAAUGUCCUCCUCUUUUUUGCCUAUCCAAGCUCUUACUUAUCUUAAAGGCCUAACUCAAACUUGCCUUUUCCAUGAAGCUUUCACAAAUUACUCAGCCCAAACUGAUGUCUCUGAAUUUACAGCUCUUAUGCGGUAAAGUAUCACGACUUAGGUCUUUUUGUUUUAUGAUAUGUCUUAUGUUGUUUUGUCCUUGCUUUAUUAGUUUGACUUGUGCAGCUAACUCCUACUCACAUCUACAGGGAAGUCAUCUCUGAUUCUUGCCUAACACACACGAUCUCUCUCUGGGCUCCCACAGCACUCUGUGCUCACUACUUAUAUAACUCACACCAUGCUGUGAUCAUUUAUUUGUCUGUCUCCCCAGCUAGAAUGUUUAAAGUUGGGGUCUGAGUAAACCAGCUUCUAACAAAUGCCUGACAUUUAAAAAACAAGAGGGAAAAUAUCAAAACCACAGUAAAGGAUUCCUACUUCUGGCAGCAUGGAUAAGAGAAAGUGCUAUCCCAUUAAAAUACAACUAGAUCCUAGAUAAAUUACAGCAAACAUACUUUUUAGCACAUUGCUGAGUUCAUUAGAAAGAGAAAUCACUAAAAAAAAAAAAAAAGUACAGGCCGGGCACGGUGGCUCACGCCUGUAAUUCCAGCACUUUGGGAGGCUGAGGCACGCGGAUCACGAGGUC